UGCUGCGUUAACAACUUUGCGGCUAUGUACAGCUGUCAGCCCUGCUCUCAUAAUGAUCAGUCCUCAGUUUUACCCACGCUGCCUUCUCUUCUCUUCUGCCCAGCCAGGGGCGGAUUCCUAGCUGGCUUCCCAAACUUCUGUCCUCACUUGGUGUGCCUGGCUUCCUCCCUUGUGUCAACAAGUUCCAGCAUGUGGAACACGAGUAAGAGCAAGCUUUCAAUAAAUAUCCUUGACAAGGAAGAGCCACUGAAGUUUUUUUAAAGAAAUACGUGACAAGACUGAACAUGCCUGCUCAAACAGAGGGCUUCCCAGAGGCAACUACGGCAUUGGAAAAACCUGAAGGCAAAAGUGCAAAACAUCCAGUACUUGAAAAAAGAUGUCAGCAUGAGCUAUUCAUCUUUUCCUCACCUCAUAUCAACAAGGAAAGCAUUUAACUGAUGAGGCUGGUUGCCCCAGUUUACUAUGUGUUUUAAAGACAGACCAUGGAAUCCCCACAAUGGAAUCCGUGCCAGAAAGACAACUCCACCCCCACCCCCACCGCCUCAUCCCUGGAGUGAGAAAACCCAGACAUUUAUCUGGACCUGCCACUGCCCUUGCCUGAGAAAGCACCAACCGCCGAGACAAGAGAGGAAAUGCUGCAGACAAUAGCAGAAGCUGCACAGUCCACACACGCUCAGCUUUUCACCACACCCAUUGGUGGAAUUUGUUACCAGUAAACAUGCAUUGCUCUAAGCACCAUUAUUUAUUACAGAUGAAAGAGAAAAAUCACCUGCUUUUAAAGUCAGCUCAGCUCCAAAUAUGAUACAUACGAAAAUUGGAUAGUUUUGCUUCUCUGAACUAGAAACUAGAAAGGGUAGCACUUUUCUACCUAUAGAUGGCUUUUUUCCAAGUACCUUGACCACAAUUUCUGUCUUGAAACUCCAAGAUGGACAAUAAUUUCAAAUCAUACUAUAAAGUAAUGAGGGGAGGGAACAUGAUGGAAAACCAUGAAACACUGUUUGGAAAUCUUAAAAUCUCUAGAAAUUACAUGUUGUUACAAAUGAAAUUUUAGUGUUUGUGAUUAACCUCACUAAGCAACAAGAAAUGUUUAACAUCUAACCUAGGUAAAAUAAUAUUGCAAAGAAUAAUGAAGAGUAAGGAAAAAGAACAACGUACCAGCCAUACUCCACAUCCUGAAGAGGUGUGCCCUGUCUUACCCUAGCCUGUCUCCCUGUUGGUGAAGUUGCUAUAACUCUCAGAACUUCCAGAAAUCUCUCAGGAUCCUCUUCCUCCCUUCCAUGGUAUCUCUCAACUCAGUCCGGUAGCCGUAUAUCUGUCUCUCUCUAGCUCCUGUCUAAUGAUGAGCAGACCGUUCAGUCUUCCCAGCUCUCAAACAUAGUUCACCUCUGGAGUCUGUGGGGCUCCCCUGGUUUCAUGCUUUGCAGCUGAUGGACCAAACUAAUGCUCCUCCCUAUCACUCUGGAACCUGAUCCAUUGCCUUAUGCCUUCAGUUAUUUGGAAGAGAGAGUCAAAACUUGACCUUCCUACUUAUUCCUUACUUAACCUCUCUGAGCUUCAGUUUUCUCAUCUAUAAAAUGGGAUAGACCUUGCCAUCCAAAUGGUUAUUAGGUUUAGAAAUGCUUUAUAUAAAACACUUAGAGCCAGGUUUAAAACAUACUAGGUACUCCAUAAGUAAUGAUAGUGAUAACAAAAAAUAAUAAUAAUUAUACUACAUUGGAAGUAAACAAUGACAUAUUAUGAAACAAAUACUAACUCUUCAAACAAAAAGUUGUUCCCAUAUUGCAAAAUAUGUACUGAGCCAAUAAAAUUUAUAGGAGUCAGAAAAUUUUUAAAUUUUAUAUCUGAUUUUACAAAUAUCCCAUGAGGUAAUAUGUUCAGCAUUUUCCAAAUGAGGAAACUGAGGCAUGAAAGGAUUAAAUAAUUCGCCCAAGGCUAACCAGUUGUAAUGUCUUAACCCUUUUUUUGAACCCAGUUCUCUCUGAGUCCAUGCUCUUAUUUCACCCUUCUAUUCCCCUUAGACUGAGAAAGUUGCCUUUGUUUCAGUACUGGAGAAGUAGGCAAAAGACUUCUGCUGUUGAAAGCCAUCCCAAUUUAGUUUGAAGUGCCCUAGAGAGAGUUUUCGUAGUUCAGCAUCUCAUUCAGUGAAUCCACAAUCUUUCCCCUCCAGAACCCACCCUUGUUAAAACCAUGACAGGGUCAAAAUUGGUCUUUUGGCUCCUCCAGCCUCCCUUCCUCACUGUAUUUCUCUUCUCCCUUUCUCUACCCAAGAUCCUCAGUGGACCUAUGCAGAACACUAAACGCCUUCAAAGUUUCCCCCCAAAACACAAAAGUGUCCCCCAAUUCUUCCUUUCCUCUAAAAUGAUCUCCCAUCUUCCCUCAUUAAAGCUCUCAUAAACUCAGCAUCUCUGUACGUUACCAGCUGGGAGAGAGGGAGGCAAUUUAAUGAAACCAAUUCAUCCUUAAGAUUUGCUAUGUGACAAUGUCCGAGGCAUACUUACUUUACUUUUAAAGAAAACAUUUAGCCCCAAAAGGCUAAUAAUUGGUCAAGUGUCCAAAAAUAAAAAAUUUUUUGUUUGUUUAGUUUUUAAGUAAAAGAGAUCAGACAGUGUGAAAGAUUUAACACAAAAUAUCAUUCUUCUAGGCUCAAUACUUCACCUUCAAAUAAAAAGCUCUGACACUUCUUCACAUUCUGGUUUGAUCACUGUUUUCACUACUUCCCAGAACUCACACCUUCCUCCCCACCAAAGUAGAACCAAAGAACAAGAAUCAAAAGUUUAGUUCACCACUUUUGAAAGAAGAUCAAAUCUUGUUCUCAACCACACCUUAGUCAAUACAUUCCUUUGCUGUAUAUUUUAUCUUUUAAAUGUGUUUUUAUUAUUUUGAAAAGAAUACAUGCAUGUGAUAAAAAAAAUUAAACAUACAAGAGAGUAUACAGUAAAAAGUUAUUUUCUCACCCAUAAUAGACCUCUUAUCUUAUUCCCCCAAUGUAACUGCCAUCACAUUUUCUUAUGUACCCUUCCAGAUAUUUAUCAUGAAAUGUACAUACAUGUAUAUAGUUUUUCCUAAAUUGAGAAACAUAAACAGCUUUUUA